rnacentral:rRNA from 1 species
GAUGAACGCUCGCUACAGGCUUAACACAUGCAAGUCGCAGGGUAACAUGAGGAAAGCUUGCUUUCCUUGAUGACGACUGGCGCACGGGUGAGUAACGCGUAUCCAACCUUCCCAUAACUACGGGAUAACCCGUUGAAAGACGGCCUAAUACCGUAUGAUAUCGUUUGCUGACAUCAAAUAACGAUUAAAGGUUUAGCGGUUAUGGAUGGGGAUGCGUCUGAUUAGCUUGUUGGCGGGGUAACGGCCCACCAAGGCGACGAUCAGUAGGGGUUCUGAGAGGAAGGUCCCCCACAUUGGAACUGAGACACGGUCCAAACUCCUACGGGAGGCAGCAGUGAGGAAUAUUGGUCAAUGGGCGAGAGCCUGAACCAGCCAAGUAGCGUGCAGGACGACGGCCCUAUGGGUGGUAAACUGCUUUUAUGUGGGGAUAAAGUGCGUGACGUGUCAUGCAUUGCAGGUACCACAUGAAUAAGGACCGGCUAAUUCCGUG